UACGGUGAAUACGUUCCCGGGCCUUGCACACACCGCCCGUCAAGCCAUGGAAGCUGGGUGUACCUAAAGUCGGUAACCGUAAGGAGCCGCCUAGGGUAAAACUAGUAACUGGGGCU
rnacentral:rRNA from 1 species